rnacentral:snoRNA from 13 species
UAUUAAGGAUGAAUCUAUCCCGAACCUGAUUCCUGUAAGAUUGACAACCCUGUCGGAUCUGACUUCUGAAAU